GGCGAGGGGAGUGAAAAAGAACCUGAAACCGUGUACGUACAAGCAGUGGGAGCACAGGUUUACCUGUGUGACUGCGUACCUUUUGUAUAAUGGGUCAGCGACUUAUAUUCUGUAGCAAGGUUAACCGUAUAGGGGAGCCGCAGGGAAACCGAGUCUUAACCGGGCGUUAAGUUGCAGGGUAUAGACCCGAAACCCGGUGAUCUAGUCAUGGGCAGGUUGAAGGUUGGGUAACACUAACUGGAGGACCGAACCGACUAAUGUUGAAAAAUUAGCGGAUGACCUGUGGCU
rnacentral:rRNA from 1 species